rnacentral:tRNA from 1 species
GGGAUGGUAGCUUAGCCUGGUAGAGCACUUGACUGAUAAUCAAGAGGUCAUCAGUUCAAAUCUGAUCCAUCCCA